rnacentral:rRNA from 1 species
UCGGAUUGCAGGCUGCAACCCGCCUGCAUGAAGCUGGAAUCGCUAGUAAUCGCGGAUCAGAAUGCCGCGGUGAAUACGUUCCCGGGUCUUGUACACACCGCCCGUCACACCAUGGGAGCCGGUAAUACCCGAAGUCAGUAGUCCAACCACGUGAGGACGCUGCCGAAGGUAGGAUUGGCGACUGGGGUGAAGUCGUAACAAGGUAAC